CUUCAUUGAAGACCUAAGUUGCCCCUCCCAGGGUUGGGUUGAUGUAGAUCAACCCAAGUGCUGCCUGGAGCUAAGGAGGAUCAGGAUUGGAUGCUGGAGAGCAGAGAUGAAGAAUAUCAACUAUGGCCUCAGGGCCAGCAGGGAUGCUGGUUUUUCCUCGGCUAAUAGCCAUUUGCAAUAGGGUCAAGAUUUAUGCCAGCUGGAAUCUCACAGGAUAUCAGUCACAUUGCUUUCUUCUAAGCAAUUGCUUAUGCUUACAAGAAAAGGAGCAGGAACAUUGAAAGGAAAAUGACAUACUUAGCUUAGGGUUCUGCAUGACAAAUGGCUCUUGAUAACCUUCCCCCGUCAAUUCUGGGAGAGUAGACAAAAGCAAAGAAAACAAAUUGACUACAGACAUCGACAUUCAUCCUACUUGAAGAGAGAACCAGUCUGUGUGAAAAACAGAGUAAACUUCAAAAGAAUCCAGCAAUUGCCCUGAACUGACCCAUAAAGAGAAAUUAGAAAUCGAAAGUUGAAAAUUAGGAAGCUCAAGAGUGAAUCUGAGGACUGAUGUGCUCCACACAUUACCUUCAAGACUGUUUAGUUUAAACAAAGUAUAGCUCAUUUCAUUAAAUGGACAAUGGUUGGAUUCUGCUUCAUUAGUAGUCAAUCUCAAUGAAUCUGUUCCACAUAUUACCUUCAAGGUUAUUUACUUUUUCUUCUCCAGGACACAGUGCUUAGAAAAAUCAAAUAGAAAAGCCACCAAGCUUACCAUUUCAACCAAGGAUAAAUAUAAGAACAUCCCAGCAGUGACUGUGAAGAUCCAGUCUUGAACACAUGGAUCAGCUGACACGGAAAGGCCAAUGUAUAAUCCCAUGAAGGCAGUUAGGGAGCUUAUAAAAUUCAUCAGGAUGGCAGUCUUCAUAGAAAGUCCAGAGCUUAAGAGCACGGCAAAGUCUCCUGAAGUUUAAGAGGAAAGGAAAAUAUAAUUAUCAUUUAAUGGAAGACGCCUUUGCUAAAGUAACGC
ensembl:lncRNA SLC39A12-AS1 SLC39A12 antisense RNA 1